UUUCUCGUCUCGAGUCAUGCUGUCUUCGGAUACCUAGGAAUGCAAUUUGGUGCCUUCGCGCCCCCUGCGGGCCUGCCCUCACCUCGAGUCGCUGACCCUGAACGACCCUCAUUGUUGCGCACCGGAAGUGCUUGACCCUCUUGGGGUCACUUUCCCGGAUGUGGGCCCUCUCUUCCUCACCCUCGGGGCGGUCCUGCGGUACCUCAGGGCGGGGUGCAGGAGCUAGACUGGGACCGAAUGGCCCACAGCUUUUUCCCUAAGCACUAUUGGAAAGGCUUUGGGCAGCGUCCACAUCCUCAACCCGCGUUAGGCAGUGUGACCCUAGGCGGCUUGUAUAACCUCUCUGAGCUUCCCAGGUGACUAACCUGCAAAGUGCGAUAGUAAAAUCCCAGUUGGCGCCAUAAAGCUCAUGCCGCUUCAUGCCGGUUAGUGGGCCUUCAGCAGACCAGCCUCUGUUGCAUGCUGUGGCCCCACACGCUCUGGAUAGACCCGAGAAGCAGCUUUAAAUGGCGGCCAAGUCGGCUGACAUUCCCACUCAGAUUCAGAGGACUCUGACAAUUCUUUCUCUCUCUAAACAAUGUUUUUCCCGUCCAGUCCUAACAACCAAGCCAGGAGGAAUUGCAUGCUUUAUUGGUUGAAGGUUCUCCAAGUCCCCUUAAGGACAGAUUUACUCUCAAUUGAAGCAAUAGGGGAGAAUCUGAAAAAAUGCAAGUGUCUCUACCUUCAGCAUGAGAGGAGUGGGGAGCUCCCCAAAUGGCCUUUACCUUGGACCUUUUCCUUCUCUCCCGUUUGGGAUGCGAGUAACCUGGGUUCUGGCCCACAACACUCUUCUGUAAGCAAGAGCCCUGGAUGUGAUGGCUAAGGAAGAGAUUUUGGUUUUUAUUCUCAUGUAUAGACUUCUCAGAUAGUUCGAGCCUGCAUUCACGGUAAUGCCUAAGCAUAGCACAACUACAGUGCUCUAUGAAUUCUUUACUGCCUUUAGAAUUUAGUGAAGGGAAGGUGAAGUUUAUCUCCAGGAAAUACAGAAGGAUAAGCUCUUCAUUCUUUAACCCUUCCACUGCCUUCUGAGUCUGGUAGAGAGUGGUCUUCUCAUGAGAGCAUCUUGCAAGAAAUUUAUUAGGAGGGAAGAAUCCCAGGCCUCAUGUCCGGUCUCCUGAAGCAGAGCCUGCAUUUUAACAGAAUCCCUAGGAAUUGCUAUGUAUGAUAAAGUGUGCGAAGCCCUGGUCUAACUCCUAGGGUGAUCUGGUUUAAAGUGGUGUGGUGGCAUCAAAAAUUAAAGGAGAGACAACAUCCUUAGAGCCAGAAUCUGGGGUGGUGGUGGCAGAGCAACUGUUUCCUGCAUUUGGGCACUGUCAUCAGGUCAGUUCAGAAGACGGAUGGAGAAUUUGUCACUGGGGCAGCCAGGAGGAACACCACAACUUUGGGGUUUUUUGCUUAAAGGAAAGGUGAGACCAGCUGUUAGUACCACACCUGCCGCAUCUUCACAGAAUUUCUGAGACAGAAGUGAAAUAAUACUCCAGACUAUACAGAUGCAUUCCCUAUUUGGAAAACUGCAAAACAAACUGGAGCAGCUGUUCAGCAACAUGAGCCUCCCUGAAGCAGGGCGGGUGGGCUGCCAAGGCACCGUGAACAUGCCUCGAAUACUUUGGGUGAGUGAAGCCCAACUGUAGUCACUGGAAGAAACAGGAGGUUUUAAUCUCCAUUGUGGUGAGAGGCACUGGUGGAUGCCAGAACUCCAAGGACGUCUGAUGGUAUUCUGGCACCAAGAGGGUUCUCCUCCCCCGCUCUUGGGAAAGUUUAGCAUUCUGGGCGCCUCCUCUCCUCACCCAACAAGGGUGUUUUGUGUCUUGAUCCCAGUGGAAGAGCCUGGCACACAAACAGCCAGGCCCAUUCAUUCCUGGAGCAGUUUUACAUAUGCAAGACUGAAGCCAAGAUUAACGUCUUCAUCCCAGACGUGCUCAUUCAGAUCCUUUCGGGUCUUGGAGACAAAGGUGUGCUGGCUGACGAUUUAUGACAAGUGACAGCUUCGAGUGGACACCACCUCUAACUAGAGCCACUUUUGGGGCGGAACCGUGCUUGGAAGAGCGAAAGGUGAGGGUCUAGAAAUACUGUCCCGAUCGCACGUGAGGGAGGCCGCUCUCCCAGUCUGUUGUCACCCCCCAGGUCCUCUGUCCUAGCUGACAGUCUCCUCUUCCCACACAUAAUCGAACCGUGGAUGACUGCCAUGGUGCUGGGUUUUGAUUCUGGCCAGAGUGGUUUAGCUUCACAGCUUUCAAUUGGAAAAUGGACAGUAAAGCCUGUUUUUGGCAAAAGAGUUCAAGGGAGGUUAAAAAGAAUUGUCACCUGUUAACUAAAAAGAACAUGAGGGUCAGUCUGCUCAUGAAUGAGGGGAAAGGCAUCGCCUUUACAGCCUGGCAUCUGAGACCGGAUUUGGAGGCCAUGUGCCCAGUGUGAGACAGUCAACCUCUUGGAAGAUGGGUUGUUCUGUGUCUGAGGCAGGUAACACGAGGACCCGUGUCACAGGCCUUUUGAGGUGUACGUGAUCGAUGCCCAGCAUUUAGCAUGGCUUAUGUACACGUCCUGUGUACCCCCUUCAACAGACACCACGCGCUGUUUUCCCGAGGCAGUGCCAGCCUUUUUAGCUGAAGACCCAUUUUGUGAGUUCUUCAGACAAGCCUCCAAAGCAGAGAAGGUUGUGUAGACGCUCACACGUUGGUGUUACUAGGUAACCGCAAGCAUAUCUCCACUUCAAAGUCAGUCAGUCCGUUAACCGUGAUUGGAAAACAGAAGUUUUUGUAAGAGAAAAUGAGUUAACUAUGCCAUAUGAAUACCAACGUGGUCUUGUCUGUCACUGCAGAUACACUACAGUGGAGGGUUCUUGUUCAAAGAAUGCUGCCAAUCGUGGUUAGCACGCGGGGCAGCGGCUCCGACCCCUCACUGCACACCAGACCCACGUAGAGGCUCUGCUGACCAGGAGAGCUGGGCCCCACCCUGAAUUCCUGAUUCCGUAGGUCAGUCUCCAUCAGGCACAGUAAUUUCCAUUUGCGGAAGGUCCCCAGGUGAUACAGGUGCUGCAUUUUGAGAAUCACUAAUCCAGAGAGUCGUUUUUACUCCUGUGAGCGAGCGCAAUGUCAGUAUUUGUUGUUCAAAACUACAUUCAAUCAAAUACGAAAAGAAAAAAAGAAAGAAAGAAAGGUUGUGGCUAUUUAAACUGUACUCCUGCGUUCAUUCUGUUGUCUGCAUUUCCUAACAUGCGCAAGGAAAGAAAUUGAAAGGUCGCUUGACACCCAGCGAGUCCACCCUGUCCCGCCAGGGGCAUCAGUCGUGAAGGGAACACAGACUUUGACACCAGUAGCCCUCAAGGCCCCAGGACGCGGGAUCUCUGAAUUGUGACCCUUCCUUCUCGUGCAGAAGUAGAGGAAGUGUCUGUUUGGAAGGCUGUGGUUUUUUCCCUCUCUGCAAACAUAUUAGAAAUAAUGAGGUAACCAGGCCCGGUUCCUUUCAAGGUGAUUUAUCUGCCUCAGUAAAUGAGAGGGAAAAACCCAUUGUCUGUUGAAGUAUUUGAUGUUCCUUAUUGAAGAGAUAGCUUUAAAAUUCCUCGAGGCAUUAGCCGAACCAGGGGAGCUUUAGACACCUCUGCUGUCUGGUGAGAGGCCCUCAUCACUAGAUGACCUUCCUCAUGAGGGCGUUGACUGUGGCCGAGUCCUCCGCUGACAGAGACAGACGCAUUACCUAAUUUGCUAACAACAAUUUAGGAAUUGGAACAUAACCGAGGAUGCAGUUAAACUGAGCCCGGGGGCGACUUGAUCUUGUGUUCUUUAUUUUCAGUUUUGCACACAGCCUGGGGCCGCAUGAGAACAAAUUAUUAGGGAAUCAUCCUAAUUUAAACUUCCUAGUGAAGUUUAAAUCUGGGUUCGAUUUUCCGUCAGUGUUCUAGCAAAUGCUGCUGCUUUAAGCUCUUGUAAUUCUACUUGGUGAGACGGCUGUCAUUGGACGUCUGUACUGAGAACUUGGGUCUGAAGCGUGUUUGGGAGAGCAGGGCUGCAGGUCUCUUAAGGCUGUGGCAU